AAUCAAACAUAAACGGGUCCCUCAGUCCAUCAUGAAGAUCUCUUAUCUACUGGUGAUGCUUUUGUUGGGAUCUUUGCUUGCAUUUGACAUGACUGGAGCUUAUCGACAUCGCCGAUGUCGUCGCCAUCGUCACAGACGUCACCGUCGCCAUCGACAUCACGGUUGACAUAUAUAUGCAUACUCUAUAUGUAUAUGUAUAUGUAACAAGCCAAGGCCUUCGGAAGAAAACAAUUCUCCAUAUACUUCGGAUUCAUGUGCAUGUACAUAUUAUUCAAUAAAGAGACUGAACUAUCU